UACGUAGGGUGCGAGCGUUAAUCGGAAUUACUGGGCGUAAAGUGUGCGCAGGCGGCCGCGCAAGUCGAGUGUGAAAGCCCCGAGCUUAACUUGGGAAUUGCGCUCGAAACUACGUGGCUGGAGUGUGGCAGAGGAAGGUGGAAUUCCAGGUGUAGCGGUGAAAUGCGUAGAGAUCUGGAGGAACACCGAUGGCGAAGGCAGCCCCUGGCUGAGAUUGACGCUCAGGCACGAAAGCGUGGGGAGCAAACAGGG
rnacentral:rRNA from 1 species